rnacentral:rRNA from 1 species
GAUGAACGCUGGCGGCGUGCUUAACACAUGCAAGUCGAACGAAGCACUUUAUUAUGAUUUCUUCGGAAUGACGAUUUAGUGACUGAGUGGCGGACGGGUGAGUAACGCGUGGGUAACCUGCCUUAUACAGGGGGAUAACAGUUAGAAAUGACUGCUAAUACCGCAUAAGCGCACAGGAUUGCAUGAUCUAGUGUGAAAAACUCCGGUGGUAUAAGAUGGACCCGCGUCUGAUUAGCUGGUUGGUGAGGUAACGGCCCACCAAGGCGACGAUCAGUAGCCGACCUGAGAGGGUGACCGGCCACAUUGGGACUGAGACACGGCCCAAACUCCUACGGGAGGCAGCAGUGGGGGAAUAUUGCACAAUGGGGGAAACCCUGAUGCAGCGACGCCGCGUGAGCGAAGAAGUAUUUCGGUAUGUAAAGCUCUAUCAGCAGGGAAGAUAAUGACGGUACCUGACUAAGAAGCACGGCUAAAUACGUGCCAG